AGCGAACGCUGGCGGCAGGCCUAACACAUGCAAGUCGAACGAACUCUUCGGAGUUAGUGGCGGACGGGUGAGUAACACGUGGGAACGUGCCUUUAGGUUCGGAAUAACCCAGGGAAACUUGAGCUAAUACCGGAUGUGCCCUUCGGGGGAAAGAUUUAUCGCCUUUAGAGCGGCCCGCGUCUGAUUAGCUAGUUGGUGAGGUAAAGGCUCACCAAGGCGACGAUCAGUAGCUGGUCUGAGAGGAUGACCAGCCACAUUGGGACUGAGACACGGCCCAAACUCCUACGGGAGGCAGCAGUGGGGAAUCUUGCGCAAUGGGCGAAAGCCUGACGCAGCCAUGCCGCGUGAAUGAUGAAGGUCUUAGGAUUGUAAAAUUCUUUCACCGGGGACGAUAAUGACGGUACCCGGAGAAGAAGCCCCGGCUAACUUCGUGCCAGCCGCCGCCGUAA
rnacentral:rRNA from 1 species